UGAGUACGAGCUGCUACGGCAGCGAAGUGGGUGAUGUCAUGCUUCCAAGAAAAGCCCUAUACCCGUUAAGGCAUGAUGGCCUGUACCCGAAACCGACACAGGUGGGGUGGUAGAGAAUACCGAGGGGCGCGAGGUAACUCUCUCUAAGGAACUCGGCAAAAUGGCCCCGUAACUUCGGGAGAAGGGGUGCCACCGCAAGGUGGUCGCAGUGAAGAGGCCCAGGCGACUGUUUACCAAAAACACAGGUCUCCGCUAAGUCGCAAGACGAUGUAUGGGGGCUGACGCCUGCCCAGCGCCGGAAGGUUAAGGAAGCUGGUCAGCGUAAGCGAAGCUAGCGACUGAAGCCCCGGUGAACGGCGGCCGUAACAUAACGGUCCUAAGGUAGCGAAAUUCCUUGUCGGGUAAGUUCCGACCCGCACGAAAGGCGUAACGAUCUGGGCGCUGUCUCGGAGAGAGGCUCGGCGAAAUAGAAUUGUCUGUGAAGAUGCGGACUACGUGCACCCGGACAGAAAGACCCUAUGAAGCUUUACUGUAGCUUGGUAUUGUGCUCGGGCUCGGAAUGCGCAGGAUAGGUGGGAGGCUAUGAACCAUUGCUUGUGGGUGAUGGUGAGCCACUGGUGAGAUACCACUCUUUCCGAGCUAGAGUUCUAACAGCCACCCGUUAUCCGGGGGCUGGACAGUAUCAGGUGGGCAGUUUGACUGGGGCGGUCGCCUCCUAAAAGGUAACGGAGGCGCGCAAAGGUUUGCUCAGGCUGGUUGGAAAUCAGCCGACGAGUGUAAAAGCAGAAGCAAGCUUGACUGUGAGACCUACAAGUCGAACAGGGAGGAAACUCGGCUUUAGUGAUCCGACGGUUCUGCGUGGAAGGGCCGUCGCUCAACGGAUAAAAGUUACUCUAAGGAUAACAGGCUGAUCUCCCCCAAGAGUUCACAUCGACGGGGAGGUUUGGCACCUCGAUGUCGGCUCAUCGCAACCUGGGGCUGAAGUCGGUCCCAAGGGUUGGGCUGUUCGCCCAUUAAAGCGGUACGCGAGCUGGGUUCAGAACGUCGUGAGACAGUUCGGUCCAUAUCCGGUGCAUGCGCAGGAAUAUUGAGAGGAUUUCUCCCUAGUACGAGAGGACCGGGAGGAACGCACCUCUGGUGUACCAGUUAUCGUGCCAACGGUAAGCGCUGGGUAGCCAUGUGCGGAGAGGAUAACCGCUGAAAGCAUCUAAGUGGGAAGCCCACCUCAAGAUGAGUAUUCCCAUGGGGUAACCCAGUAAGGUCACGGGAAGAACACCCGUUGAUAGGCUCUACGUGGAAGCGCAGUAAUGUGUGAAGCGGAGGAGUACUAAUAGACCGAGGGCUUG
rnacentral:rRNA from 1 species